rnacentral:rRNA from 1 species
GACGAACGCUGGCGGCGUGCCUAACACAUGCAAGUCGAACGAAACGUUCGGGUCUUUUGGCGCACGGGUGCGGAACGCGGGGGGAGCUGCACUUGGGUACGGAAUACCUCCCCGAAAGGGAUGCUAAUACCAGAUGGUGUCUUAGGACCAAAGAUUUAUCGCCUUGGGAUGGGCGCGCGUGGGAUUCGGUAGUUGGUGGGGUAAAAGCCUUCCAAGGCGACGAUCCAUCGCUGGUAUGUGAGGAAGAUCAGCAACACUGGGACAGGGACCCGGCCCAAACGCCUCGGAGAGGCAGCAGUGGUGACUAUGGGACAAGGGGCGAGAGCCUGCUCCACCCCUGCCGCGUGAGUGAUCUAUGCGUUAGGAUUGUAUAUCUCUUUUACCCGGGAUGAUAUGGCCGUAACCGGUAAAAAAGCCCCGGCUAACUACGUG